rnacentral:rRNA from 1 species
UGGGGAAUAUUGGGCAAUGGGCGAAAGCCUGACCCAGCAACGCCGCGUGAGGGAAGAAGGUUCUCGGAUUGUAAACCUCUGUCCUUGGUGACGAAAAAAAUGACGGUAGCCAAGGAGGAAGCCCCGGCUAACUACGUGCCAGCAGCCGCGGUAAUACGUAGGGGGCAAGCGUUGUCCGGAAUGACUGGGCGUAAAGGGCGCGUAGGCGGCCUGAUAAGUCUGGAGUGAAAGUCCUGCUUUUAAGGUGGGAAUUGCUUUGGAGACUGUCGGGCUUGAGUGCAGAAGAGGUAAGUGGAAUUCCCAGUGUAGCGGUGAAAUGCUUAGAUAUCACGAAGAACUCCGAUUGCGAAGGCAGCUCACUAGACUGGUCACUGACACUGAGGCUCGAAAGUGUGGGUAUCAAACA